rnacentral:rRNA from 1 species
GACGAACGCUGGCGGCGUGCUUAACACAUGCAAGUCGAACGGUGAAGCGCCUUCCUUUUUGGUGGGUGUGGAUGAGUGGCGAACGGGUGAGUAACACGUGAGUAACCUGCCCCCUUCUUCUGGAUAACCGCAUGAAAGUGUGGCUAAUACGGGAUAUUCUGGGUCUGUCGCAUGAUGGGUCUGGGAAAGAUAUUGUUUCGGUGGGGGAUGGGCUCGCGGCCUAUCAGCUUGUUGGUGGGGUGAUGGCCUACCAAGGCGGUGACGGGUAGCCGGCCUGAGAGGGUGGACGGUCACACUGGGACUGAGACACGGCCCAGACUCCUACGGGAGGCAGCAGUGGGGAAUAGUGCACAAUGGGCGCAAGCCUGAUGCAGCGACGCCGCGUGAGGGAUGGAGGCCUUCGGGUUGUGAACCUCUUUCGCCAGUGAAGCAGGCCUGCCUCGUUUGUGGGUGGGUUGACGGUAGCUGGAUAAGAAGCGCCGGCUAACUACGUA